GGAAUUCUGGGACUCUCAAUAUGAGAAAUCUGCCAUCUGUUUUCAAUAUAACACUUGUUUUUAACAUAUUCCCAUUCUGUUUUACAGCCAGAAACAUUAAAAAAACAAUAACAGGAAUAUGCUAAAUGUAACUUGCUAUUCCAAAACAGAGUACCUAUACCCUUGUUCUUAAUAAGUCUGCAUGCACAUGCAUAAGCAUUA